UUCAAAGCGCUGAUCUUAGAU
rnacentral:piRNA from 1 species